AUGGGACGUAAAAAGAAGAAGCAAUCAAGGCCCUGGUGUUGGUAUUGCAAUAGGGAAUUUGAAGAUGAGAAAAUUUUGAUUCAGCACCAAAAAGCAAAACACUUCAAAUGUCAUAUUUGUCAUAAAAAGCUUUAUACGGGACCAGGACUUAGUAUACACUGUAUGCAGGUACAUAAAGAAGCAAUAGAUAAGGUACCUAAUUCAUUGCCAAAUCGUAGUAAUAUUGAAAUAGAAAUUUAUGGCAUGGAAGGUAUACCACCAAAUGAUGCAAAAGAACAUGAAAGGCAAAGGAAUGGAGGCAGGCCAGGAUCACCGAGUUCUGGUGAAGAUGAACCCAUUCGUAAAAAAGCAAAGCCAGAGGGUCUAUUGGGUUCUGCACCGGGAGCAAUGCCUACAGGUUCAAAUAUGAUGCAAGGUGUAAUGCCAGGUAUGGGAGGUCAUCCUGGUAUGCCACCAAUGGGACAGUUCCCACCACCCAUGCACCAUAUGAUGGGACCUAUGGGUCCAGUAGGUCCACCUUUCAUGGGACCUGGUAUGAUGCCUGGAAUGCCAGGUAUGCCUCCAGGUAUGCAACCACCAGUAUCAGGUGCAUCUCUUCCACCAUCUCGGCCAUUAUUUCCAAGCGCUGCAGCUGUUUCAACAGCCGCAUCUACAGUUGUCACUUCUCCUCUGGGCACAGAUUUUAAACCAAUUACGUCAAUAGCUGGCGGAUCUAUAGGACCAGUUAAGCCAACAUUCCCUGCGUACAGCAUUGCUGAUAGUAAUACCACCACUAGUAAUAACAUUGGAAAUGAUCAAAAAGUAAAUCUUAUAGCAACUACUAGUGCUGCCAUUAAAAUUAUUCAUCCACCAGAGGAUUUAAGUCUAGAGGAAAUUAGAGCAAGACUACCGAAAUAUCAACGGCGACAAAACGAGGAUACACGAACUGUACAGGCUGAUGUCAAUCAGCAAGCUGCCGUUUUACAACAGCAGCAACAGCAGCAGCAACAACAACAACAGCAGCAGCAGCAGCAACAACAAGCUGCUGCUGCUGCUAACGCAGCUGCUGCAUUUCAGGAUCAACAACAAAGACAACAAGCUGCAUUAAAUGCUCUUCAGCAGCAACAGAGGUUUCAGCGACCCCCACAAGCAGUAAUGGUUCCUGCAUCAGCUGCAAUGCCUGUUAGCUCUGUUGCUCUGAUGGCACCGCUAAUGCGACCUACUAUGACUUUAGCUGCACCCGCUCUGAUUCACGGAGGUAACAUGAUGCGACCGCCCCCCAUGGGCCUGCCUCCAGGGAUGAUAGGAGCGUUACCACCGGGCGCCAUGCACCCGGCAUUUGCUACCCCAAUGGGCUUUCCUGGUGCGCCCAUGUUGGCUCCGAUGAUGCAUCCACGCUUCAGAUGAUCACCUCCUGUGGACGGGUCCAACCCGCCACUGCACUUCGUGCUUUGGGCCCGCCCCUAAAUUUUCUUAGGGUCCGGACCUGACAGAGACGAGGGAAGAAGCACGCGUAAAACUUUUUACUUCGCGCGUGGACACACUUCGUUGAUCGGCCGCGGCUGCACUUGACGCAUCUUCUCCCACGAAGUUUAUACGAAACGAAUGGAAGUCGGCACGUAACCGUAUUGCGAAAGUGUGGCGAAGACGGUGCAAGAGGAGGCUGCAACUAAAAUCAUGAGACUUUGUGUGUUCGUUGUAUGUUGACAAAAAAAAAAAAAAAAAAAAAAAAAAAAAAAAAGAACGUGAAUCGUACUGUUCGAAUUCAGCUGUUUGAUCGUGAGAAACACGAGUACGUGAAAAUCAUUCUCUUCGUGAAGGUUUACCUCAGUAGGCACCCUGUUUGUCUAUUCUUUCACUCGACUUCUACCAGUACUUCGAGAAAAAUUAUGAAACAGCAUACCGUGCCGUACAACACGUGUACGUACCUAAAAAAGAACUACACAAUCGUUAUGAGUAUACUUCAUUUUCAGAGGUUGUCUUUCCGAAUCACGUUUUUGUUUUCACUAUGAUCUCGCCGAAACGGUUUGUCGACGAUCAGUUACGAUUCGUGCUUACGUGUCCAUUUUUAAGCCGACAAUAUUCAACAGUACAAAAAACGCAGUCGUUGAUGGCGCUUCUCACCCCUCGAUACUGCUAAAUCAUGGCCUGACCCUGGUAUUUCUAGACCAUCCCUUACUUUGAGAUUCGGCAGGACAAUCUGAUGGCAGAAUUGGACAUGUAGAAAUUCUGUUAUUUAUUGAGUGUCACAUUAUCAACUUGUUUCGAAUAAAGACGUU